GUGAGAACCAAAUUGCUAGAAAGUACUUUAUAAUUUGCAUAAUAAGGUUAAGGUUGUUCUGGCACACCAUAAAUACCAAGUCUAUGGAAGGUUUUCAAAAGGACCAACCUAUAUGGUACUAAUCGCUCCUAAUUUCAUAAAUUAGUCAGUCACACAUCACAAAAUCCAUGUCAAAAAGCAAAACCCCCCAUGCAGCCCAAAUUAAUUAGGGAUUCUCCCCCAUAUUGUUAGGGUUAAGUAAAUUAAAGCGUGUUCCCAAAUUUAACUUCUCAGAACCGAACAAACCACUAAGCAUCAGAAGAGUUUUCGUGUUGAGCUUGGUGCUUAGGUGUUGGGUGCUGCUGUCCUUUGUCAAUUAAAAACAUAGUACAGUCGACACGCUUUGUUGGAGCUGAACAAGGUUUUGUGGGAGGUGCUGGAAGAAGGGAAUCCAAAACCCUCAAAACUUCAUGCAUGGUUGGUCUUUCAGAAGGAUACCGCUUUGUGCACAACAGAGCAAGCUGGAAUGUCUUCGUCACAUGAGUUAAAUCCAUGCAUGUAACAGAAACUUCUUGAUCAACAACCUCCAUUACUGUAUUGUUGUCAGCUUUGGAUAGUAUCAGCUGAUGCAAAUUAUACUCAUUAUCCACAGCUUUCUUCCCAGUUAGAAGCUCCAAAAGAACAAUGCCAAAGCUGUAAACAUCUGAUUUUUCAUUUAGCCGAGAUGUGUGGGCAUAUUCUGGGUCAAUAUAGCCAAUUGUUCCUAAAACAUAGGUUGAAGCAUGAGUUUUUGCAGUUGGAAUGCUUUUUGCAAUUCCAAAAUCAGAUAGAUGAGCCUCAAAAUUUUCAUCCAGCAGGAUAUUUGAAGACUUCACGUCCCUGUGGAUAAUUCGUGGAUUACAAUCAUGGUGAAGAUAGGCAAGUCCUUGUGCAACUCCAACCGCUAUCUUCAAGCGUGUUUCCCAAUCCAGCUUUACCUUUUCAGAUGGUCCAUGAAGGAGAUCCCAUAAAGAACCAUUCUCCAUGUAGUCAUAGAAAAGAAGGUUUCCAUAUGGAGAGUGAGCAUAACCAUGCAAACUGACAAUGUUUCUAUGUCUUAUGCUGCCAAUGGUCUCAAGUUCAGUUUCAAAUUCUCGCAUGUUAUACUGAUUGUAGAGUCUCUUAAUUGCAAUUGAUCGGGAAUUUUUCAGUACACAUUUGUAUACUGUGCUUGAUGCACCAUAGCCAAUAAUGUACUUCUCACUUAAAUGCUCAGUGUUUCUCAUUAUAUCAUCAAAGGUGUGAAUAGCCAUGUCCAUGUGAAGAACCACAAUUUUGGGUGGACCUUGUAUAUUUUUGUGAGAUUUCUUCAUCAAUUGCUUCUGCUGGUUAGAUUUGUAGAUUGCAACUGUAACCAUGGACAAUAAGAUGAUGAAGCCCAAUGUCAUGCAGACGACCACAGCUCUGGAAAAAAUUGCUGGACAGAAAAAAACAAUAGUUUGAAAAAUUAUGACAAAAAAAUUCCUAACCCUUACUCCACACCAGACAACUAUCACAGCAAGAAAAAUACACGAACUCAACCAGCACUCAACAAGUCAAUUAAUGGUCAAGUUGUCACCUCUAGACUUGGGUUCAUAAGGGUCACAAAUAGAUCCCAACCAGUUGCCACACAACAAUGGAUUUCCAAUGAAGCUGGCACAGCAAAACGUUAUAAUAUCACCAGGAGAUUCAGAAUAAGAAUUAAUUCUGAAGAAUAGGCAUUACUACCUUAGCGGUGGAAAUCGUGAGAAGUUUCUGAUGGGAGGUACAACCCCUGAUAAGUUGUUGUACGAGAAAUUCCUGACACAUGAAAACUCAUUGUUGGGAAUACUCCACACACUUUUUGAGAGAAAACAUGUAAAACAUGCAGCUAGAGAACUAAAGAAAAAGGCAGCUAUUUAAAGAACAUACAGAUUUGUAAGACUGAAACAAUUGGCAAGUUGAUCAGGGAUCACUCCCUGCAAGUUGUUAUUGUUCAGGAUCCUGCCAUGCACUUUUGUCAAUGCAAAGGUACUCAGCAUUGUAAAUAAGGGAUCAAACCAAGGGCAUACGGACAUCAAACUUACAGAGAAAAGAUGUUUUGCAACUGACCCAAUUCUGCAGGAAUGGAGCCAGUGACAUUGUUGAAUGACAUAUCACUGGAAAUACGAGUAAACAUCGUCAAGAAAGAAGAAGAAGACGAAAGGAAAAGAAAGGGAGAAGGGGGGAGAAAGGGGGAAGGGGGAGGUGUGGAUAGUAGGAUGUGGCUUAUCCCAUCACAUACAAAGUUUUGGUACUAAGCUUACAUAAUCUGUAUACUUCUAAGAUUCCCAAAUUCAGCAGGCAAUGGCCCAUCAAUAUGAUUCCUGCUUAAAUUCAAGGUAAGAAGGUGCUCUAGGUCACCAACAGAAGCUGGAACAGGUCCAGAGAAGCUAUUGCCAGAUAGAUCCAAUGUGUCAAGGUUGAUAAUAUGGCCAAGCUCCACUGGAAUCCUGCCUUUGAAAUUGUUUGAUGAAAUAUUUAGGUAAGUCAAACUCUCUAGAUUCCUGAAACCCCAAGGCAUACUUCCGUUUAAGCGAUUACCAUGCACAUUGAAUUGGUUCAGAGCAGAACAGAAGCUGAUGUUAUGUGGAAUGGGCCCUUCAAGGUCAUUGUUAGCAAGAUUCAAUUCAAACAACUGCUCCAGCUUCCCAAGUUCAGGAGGAAUGCUGCCAACAAGCUGGUUGUCAUUCAAUUGCAAGUAGCUGAGUUUUGACAUAUUGCCAAGUUCUGGCGGGAUUGAUCCAGUAAGCUUGUUACCAUAGAGGUACAGUUUCCCAGUGUAUGAUAGAUUGCCCAGUAUUGGUGGGAUUGGCCCAACUAGCUCAUUCUCACUCAAGUCCAAAACAGCAAGGGCCUGCAUUAAACCAAUCACUUCAGGAAUCUUCCCCGUUAGCUUAUUUCCUUGAAGUGACAGAGUAGCUACUUGCAAGAAGCCUAUAUUAUAUGGUAUCUCCCCUGUGAUCUGAUUGUACGAUAGGUCCAAUAUCUCAAAGCUUGUACAGUUGCCAAUGCUAUCAGGGAUUGUGCCAGUGAGAUUAUUGCCUCUCACAUCACUGGAAAAAAAAAUACCAGGAAAAUUUAACUGGCAAGCAGGGAGAACAUAACAAAGGAAUACAAAAUUGAAGCAGCUUCUUUUCCCUUUCUUCCGAUGGCACUUGCUCAAACCAGUUAAGCUACUUACAAAUACCACAAACCAGUCAACUGACACAUGUCCGAUGACAAUGUUCCGGUCAAUGAAUUCCCUCGAAGCCCAAGGUACUGUAAUACUUCAUUCCAGUAGAGUAAUCUCGGUAUCUCACCAAUGAGCUGAUUCCGAGCAAGGUCGAGAGUUUUCAGGUUAGGUAUCUGGGUUAAGGUUGCCGGGAUAGGACCAGUAAGCUUGUUGUUCUUCAAAUUCAAGAAUUCCAGCAGCUUGAGCUUAGAUAUGGAAAAGGGUAUGUCUCCAUACAGAAAAUUGUCAGACAAAUCCAGAUGAAAUAGAGAUGCACAGUUGCCAAUCUCAUCUGGGAUUUGACCCGUCAACUUGUUUCCCUGAAGGUCUAUUGAUUGCAACUUCCUCAAGUCUCCAAUGGCAGGAGAUAUUUCCCCACCCAGGUUCAAAUUUGACAAAUUAAGAGAAACAACAGAGGAGCGGGCAUUGUCACAGAAAACACCACGCCAAGAACAGAAAUCCCGGUGGUGCACAUCGUCCCAGUCGAGAAGCACGUUAACUUCAUUGCUAAAUGAUGCCUUCAACGACAUCAAGGCUUUCCCUUCAUCAUUGAGCGGCGAAGCUUGAGGAAAGAGCAGCAAAAACACCACAAUUAUCAAACAGUUACAAGUCACUGGCAUCUUUUUCUUCGUUCCCCUCCCUGCUUCUUCCAUUAUAACAAAUCCAGAACCAAAUCACACACUACAAGAAACGUGACUGAGCGAGUCAACGAAUCAGAAGCAAACGGAGACCAAUGGUUGAGAAGCAUGAGAUGAGCUCGGCUCCACCUCCAUUUUUUGAUUGGGAGAGAGCACAGACGCUUGGCGUGAACUGUAAGGAA
rnacentral:misc_RNA from 1 species